GAGGACCAAGCAACAGUGUUAACCUGCAAGAGCAAGAAGAUUUACUAAACCCACUUGGAUGUCACAAAGCUUUGAUCAUAACUUUGAGCUUCACCAGUUCCUGGAGAAAAUCAAUACAAUAAAAAUUUCAAACUCAGAGGCUUUAAAGCACUCACAGAAUUAAGACAGCAACAGCUUUUUGGUGUGCAGAAGUUGUUACUCACAGACAAAACACGCUUAGCAGUGUUCCACAGUGUUGGAAGUGCCUUCCCUUCAACAAUCUCGCACUCUGCCUCCACUUUUAAACCCUCAUACCUCACUUCUAUGGUCGGUAACUCCAUUCCAACUCUGCACAACACAGUUUUAAUCUCAAAGUUCCAAGAAUCCGAAAGGAUGACGUUCCAUGGCUCCAAGCUUCGUGACAUCAACGACUCUUUUACCUUUCUCGGCCAUGGACUCAUCACCAUCAUCAAGGAGAGAGGAUCUCAUGCGUUUGACGGUUGGCAAUCUCUCGAUCUCAGCCCAUUGCAGAGCAUACUCUGCAUUCGUAUUAUUGCCCUCACCAUCAUGAUCAGGUUCAUACCUUGAAGAGCCGCUUCUGAAACUCGAGGUGUGUCUAUGGAACGAUGAUCUGAUGCUUCUUCCAAUCUCUGCAAGCUCCACUCUCAACGACUCAAUCUCGUCUGCUCCAGCCAUAUUAGCCAUGGCUGUGGCUUAAUUAGUUUGAGCUCUCUGUUAUCAGAAACUCAAAGUCUAAUUGAUAGGUAAGCCUAACUGUUUUGACUUGCAGAUAUAUAUAUAGUUAUACAUUUAUACAUUGUUCAAACUGACACGCUUCAAUGAUGUAAGUGAAUACAUCAGCUUUUCUUCUUAGUUCUUGAAAUGAUCUGCGACUUCCAAGGUCAAAAGAUAUAUUAAUAAUAAAAACACAUGCUGUGAUACUCAAAAAGUUAUUGUGAACAGCUGUGAUCAUGGAGGGUUGAGUAUCAAUUUUAUA